UCCUCCUUAGCUCAGUCGGUAGAGCGACGGACUGUUAAUCCGCAGGUCGCUGGUUCGAAUCCAGCAGGAGGAG
rnacentral:tRNA from 2 species